rnacentral:tRNA from 1 species
GUGAGCAUAGUUCAGUUGGUAGGACAAUGCAUUAUUAUAUGUAUGGGUCGAGGUUCGAUCUCUGGACACC